rnacentral:rRNA from 1 species
AUUGAACGCUGGCGGCAUGCCUUACACAUGCAAGUCGAACGGUAGAGUAGCAAUACUUGAGAGUGGCGAACGGGUGAGUAAUAUAUCGGAACGUGCCCAGUCGUGGGGGAUAACGUAGAGAAAUUUACGCUAAUACCGCAUACGAUCUAAGGAUGAAAGCGGGGGAGUUCGCAAGAACCUCGCGCGAUUGGAGCGGCUGAUAUCAGAUUAGGUUGUUGGUGAGGUAAAAGACUCACCAAGCCGACGAUCUGUAGCUGGUUUGAGAGAACGACCAGCCACACUGGGACUGAGACACGGCCCAGACUCCUACGGGAGGCAGCAGUUGGGGGAAUUUUUUGGGACCAAAUGGGCGGAAAGACCUGAUCCAGCAAUGCCGCGUGCAGGAAG